GUGCUCACUUCGGCAGCACAUAUACUAAAACUGGAACGAUACAGAGAAGAUUAGCAUGGCUCCUGUGCAUGGAUGACAUGCAAAUUUGUGCAGUGUUCCAUAUUUUU
rnacentral:snRNA from 1 species